GAUGGGUUAUAGACGGGAUUAAGAAGGAAAUCACCAAAUUUUUGGAACAAAACAACAAUGAAGACACAAAUUAUCAGAACCUCUGGGAUACUGCAAAGGCAGUCCUAAGAGGGAAAUUUAUAGCACUGCAAGCCUUCCUCAAGAAAACGGAAAGAGUCUCUUUGCCGCAUCUCAGCGAGAAUGAAGACUAUUCUCAGCAAUCAGACUGUCGAUGUUCCAGAAAAUGUCGACAUCACUCUGAAAGGACGCACAGUUAUUGUGAAGGGUCCCAGAGGAACCCUGCGGAGGGACUUCAACCACAUCAAUGUGGAACUCAGUCUCCUUGGAAAGAAAAAGAAGAGGCUCGGGGUUGACAAAUGGUGGGGAAAUAGAAAGGAACUGGCUACUGUUCGCACUAUUUAUAGUCAUGUAUAGAACAUGAUCAAGGGUGUUACACUGGGCUUCCAUUACAAGAUGAGGUCUGUGUAUGCUCACUUCCCCAUCAACGUUGUUAUCCAGGAGAAUGGGUCUCUUGUUGAAAUAAGAAAUUUCUUGGGUGAAAAAUAUAUCCGCUGGGUUUGGAUGAGGGCAGGUGUUGUUUGUUUGGUAUCUGAAGCCCAGAAAGAUGAGUUAAUCCUCGAAGGAAAGGACAUUGAGCUUGUUUCAAAUUCAGCUGCUUUGAUUCAGCAAGCCACAACAGUUAAAUACAAAGAUAUCAGAAAAUUUUUGGAUGGUAUUUAUGUCUCUGAAAAAGGAACAGUUCAGCAGGCUGAUGAAUAAGAUCUAAGAGUUGCCCAGCUGCAGCAAGACACCACAUGAUAUUCCUUAAGAUCUCUUUGUAAUUUUAGCAAUGCAAUAAAAGAUUCA